AACAAACGCUGGCGGCGUGCCUAAUACAUGCAAGUCGAACGGGGAAAGCCUUCGGGUGAGUACUAGUGGCGCACGGGUGAGUAACGCGUGGAUAAUCUGCCCUCGAAUGGGGAAUAACUAGUCGAAAGAUUAGCUAAUACCGCAUAAGACCACGACUACUGAGGUAGUUGGGGUCAAAGGAGCAAUUCGUUUGAGGAUGAGUCCGCGUAAGAUUAGCUAGUUGGUGAGGUAAUGGCUCACCAAGGCGAUGAUCUUUAACUGGUCUGAGAGGAUGAUCAGUCACACUGGAACGGAGACACGGUCCAGACUCCUACGGGAGGCAGCAGUAGGGAAUAUUGGACAAUGGGGGCAACCCUGAUCCAGCGACGCCGCGUGAGCGAUGAAGGCCUUCGGGUCGUAAAGCUCUGUUGUAAGGGAAAAAGUUCUGAUUGUACCUUACGAGAAAGGAUCGGCUAACUUCGUGCCAGCCGCCGCAGUAA
rnacentral:rRNA from 1 species